rnacentral:rRNA from 1 species
AGGUAGUACUCACAAACCUAUUUAUUUUGGCGGCAUUCAUUUCCCUAGAGGAACUUGUUCUAUAAUCGACAACCCACGAUAAAUUUCACUUUAUUUCACAAUUUAUAUACCGCCGUCAUAUAGAAUUUUCUAAAAAAUUUAUUCUCAAUAACUAAUAACAAAAUAGGUCAAGGUGUAAUCAAUAAUAAAGAUUAAAAUGAGUUACUUUAAAUACAAUUUCAGGAUUAAAUAAUAUUAACUAUUUAUUAAAAAGAAUUUAAAAGUAAAUAAAAAACAAUAAUUUUUCAUGAACAAAAUUAUAAAUGUGC